AUGUGUCCCCGGAACCAAAUUUGUGUGGCCGAGAUACCAUAUUAUUGUGACGGACUAGUUUUAAUUCCUGUCCUCCGAGGGCGUUUCCGGUUGUCUAGCUGCGAAGGUCUCGGAAGUUCGCGAGACCGUGGGGAUCUCCAACCAGGAAGGAUGAGCGGUGCCUUAAGGAAGGUGCUGUGCCUGAGGAAACACGCCUUUUCAAAACAAGCUCUUUCAUUGUAAGGUAAGUAUACCAUCACAUCCUACUUUCUGGUACAUUAGUGAUGAAAGGCAUUAGGCAGUCU
rnacentral:lncRNA from 1 species